CUUUCCCUUUCCCUUUCCCUUUCCCUUUCCCUUUCCCUUUCUUCAUUCCUUCCUUCCCUCCCUAAAAGUCUGAACAUUUUGGAAAAGACACACACCUGGACAAAAUUCCCCCAGAUAAAGCCCAAACUAAAAGCAGAGGCACAGAGACAAGAAAAUGUUUCCACACAGGAUGACCUUUUCUGGGAAGAGGGGGGGAGCUGGGAUUUUUCAUGCACUUCAGUCUCAGCCUUGCUAGGUAAAUUUUCCUUGGCUAUCUCUCUAUGUAUGAAGCUAUUGUUGGAACGUCAAGGUCAAGUUCUUCCACACAUGGUAAUGAUGCUCAUUUCCCUCAUCCUGUACAGGACAAUAAAGAGUGCUCUGAGAUUUUUUUACAUCAUUUUGAGAACUGUGUUGUGACUCCUGCUUCUAAAUAUUUAUAAAGCAGAAGAGUUUAUUGCAAGUGUGAUCACACUGUGAGAUGAACAGAGACUUCUACAAAUGCUUCUCCUUC